rnacentral:rRNA from 1 species
CCUACGGGAGGCAGCAGUGGGGAAUAUUGGGCAAUGGGCGCAAGCCUGACCCAGCAACGCCGCGUGAAGGAAGAAGGCCCUCGGGUUGUAAACUUCUUUUAACAGGGACGAAGAAAGUGACGGUACCUGUUGAAUAAGCCACGGCUAACUACGUGCCAGCAGACGCGGUAAUACGUAGGUGGCAAGCGUGAUCCGGAUUUACUGGGUGUAAAGGGCGUGUAGGCGGGAGAGCAAGUCAGACGUGAAAUUCCAGGGCUCAACCCUGAAACUGCGUUUGAAACUGUUGUUCUUGAGUGAUGGCGAGGCAGGCGGAAUGCGGUGUGUAGCGGUGAAAUGCGUAGAUAUACGGAGGAACACCAGUGGCGAAGGCAGCCUGCUGGACAGUAACUGACGCUGAGGCGCGAAAGCGUGGGGAGCAAACAGGAUUAGAUACCCUAGUAGUC